rnacentral:rRNA from 1 species
AACGAACGCUGGCGGCAGGCCUAACACAUGCAAGUCGAGCGAGGCCUUCGGGUCUAGCGGCGGACGGGUGAGUAACGCGUGGGAACGUGCCCUUUUCUACGGAAUAGCCUCGGGAAACUGAGCGUAAUACCGUAUACGCCCUUUGGGGGAAAGAUUUAUCGGAGAAGGAUCGGCCCGCGUUGGAUUAGGUAGUUGGUGGGGUAAUGGCCUACCAAGCCUACGAUCCAUAGCUGGUUUGAGAGGAUGAUCAGCCACACUGGGACUGAGACACGGCCCAGACUCCUACGGGAGGCAGCAGUGGGGAAUCUUAGACAAUGGGGGCAACCCUGAUCUAGCCAUGCCGCGUGAGUGAUGAAGGCCUUAGGGUUGUAAAGCUCUUUCAGCUGGGAAGAUAAUGACGGUACCAGCAGAAGAAGCCCCGGCUAACUCCGUG